rnacentral:rRNA from 1 species
AUUGAACGCUGGCGGCAGGCUUAACACAUGCAAGUCGAGCGGAGACUUCGGUCUUAGCGGCGAACGGGUGAGUAAUACCUAGGAAUCUGCCUAUUAGUGGGGGAUAACGAAUCGAAAGGUUCGCUAAUACCGCAUACGUCCUACGGGAGAAAGGGGGGGAGUCUUCGGACCUCUCGCUAAUAGAUGAGCCUAGGCCGGAUUAGCUAGUUGGUAGGGUAAAGGCCUACCAAGGCGACGAUCUGUAGCUGGUCUGAGAGGAUGGCCAGCCACACUGGAACUGAGACACGGUCCAGACUCCUACGGGAGGCAGCAGUGGGGAAUAUUGGACAAUGGGGGCAACCCUGAUCCAGCCAUGCCGCGUGUGUGAAGAAGGCCUUCGGUUGUAAGACACUUUAAGCGAGGAGG